rnacentral:rRNA from 1 species
ACGAAAGCUAAAGGAGUGAUUAGGAUUAGAUACCCUAGUAAUUUUAGCCGUAAACGAUGGAAACUCACUGCCGAGCGAAAUACAACGAGCGGUGGUCAAGCUAACGCGUGAAGUUUCCCGCCUGGGGAUUACGCUUGCAAAAGUGAAACUCAAAGGAAUUGACGGGGACCCGCACAAGCGGUGGAGUAUGUGGUUUAAUUCGAUGCAACACGAAGAACCUUACCAGGGUUUGAAAUCAUUUCAAAACUCCUUGAAAGAGGAGCCUCCUUCGGGAUGAAAUGACAGGUGGUGCAUGGCUGUCGUCAGCUCGUGUUGUGAAAUGUCGAGUUAAGUCUCGUAACGAGCGCAACCCAUGUCUCUUGUUGCUCACUGAGUGCUUAAGAGAGACUGCCGACCAACAUCGGAGGAAGGUGUGGAUGAUGUCAAGUCAGCAUGCCCCUUACAUCCUGGGCUACACACGUACUACAAUGGUAGGGACAAUGAGCUGCGAUCCUGCGAAGGCUAGCCAAUCUCAAAAACCCUAUCUCAGUUCGGAUUGUACUCUGCAACUCGAGUACAUGAAGGUGGAAUCGCUAGUAAUCGCUGGUCAGCUAUACAGCGGUGAAUACGUUCCCGGGUCUUGUACACAC